rnacentral:lncRNA from 1 species
GGCCUGGUUCAAGCCUAUUCAGCUUUGAGUUCAAGUAAGUUGUAUCAAGAAGAGCCUAUCCAAAUCGGUCCUAUAGAUACCCAUAGAGGCAGAACACUUGUGCUGCUAAUUUAAAACUUGCUCAACCCUGAGAUCCAGAGAUCGAAUUGGAUUCAACCCUAGUUACAGAUUUGAGGCAAAAGAAAAGCAAUUUAGAUAUGCAAUUUGAUUAUAAACUUUUAUUUCUUUCUACUAAA